UUCCUCUGAAGUGUAUUUGAAUAAAGCAACCUGGUUAGCAGGCUGUGAUGCAAGGCGCUGUGGCUGAACUGGAUGGUGGGAAAUUUGUAAGGAAAGCAGUGCUGGAUUUGGUGGUACCUUCUGGAACCGACGGCAUCCCUGCCUCUGCUUUGGCUUUCUGUGCAAGUGGGUUCUGAGGAAAAGGGAUGAAUUCAGAAGACACUGAAAAAUUAUUUUUCUCUAUUUUAAAAUGACAACAUUUCUAAACAUUAUGAUAGUUAAUAUUGCAGGCAGGACUGGAGCUCUGCUGUUGAAACCUGUUAGAAGUACCUGUGACAACAAGUUCAGCAGUGCUCAGCUGCUUCCAUCCCACCUGCAGUCUGUGUCAUAGCCAUAUCCUAAAGUGCUGGUGAUCGGAGAGGUGGACCUGGUAAUAAAUGGAACUAUCUUAUGGCUGGUGUUUGGGUAAGAGCAGAACCACACCACCACUGGAAAUAAUCUUUAAUUUUUUUUCUUUCGUAUUCACCAAUGCAGCCAUGAAAACAAUGUGUUUUAUCUGUAAGCAAUGUAUGUUAUCUGCAGAUGACGUCGUUUUCUCUCGCCUCAGAAAAAUAUCAUUAGCUCAUGCUACAGCAGCUUGUGCUUUUGUUUUUAUGAUACUUCUAGUUUAUCAGCCAAAAAUGAGGAUUAGUGUGCAUAAUCUAGUGGAUCACAUGAAGGCCAAAGUUAUCCAGAAUCACAAUGUAUCCUAUGCAGCCUUCCCUCACUGCUGUUAAAGGAGGGUUAGCACCUUCCUCGUCUCAGGGACUGAGGCAGCAGGGGCCUAUCACCUUGGGACCUGUGUCCUGCUGUGCAUCCCAGAGUGCGCUAAUCUCUGUAUUUAGCUCUUCUUUCAUAUGCAUUUAUGAAAGAGCUUUGCACAGAUGGGUAAGAGUUUUUAUCCACAUUUCUUGGUGGUUUAGUGUAGUUACAUCAGGAGGAGUAAUUAUUUCUAUCAGCAAGAUUGUGACAGCCACCACAUAUUAUGGGAAUUUUCUUCAUUGAAACUUUAAUUUUUUUCCCUUUUGUUUGAUUCUUACAGUAACACAAAGAAUAGUUUAGAAAUAUAAUUGCAAUCUCUAGAAGAAAUAUAACCAGACUGGCUAUGAAGCUGAAUCACAUUAGAGCACUGGGAAUAGAGCCACCUAUAAAAGAAAAUGAGCAGAAAGAAAAUCACAGCUUGAGCAGUUGUCAUUUGUCACGAAAGGGGAAUCUCUGCUGAACCACCAACAAUGGGCCACCCAGGAGAAAAGGCAUUUUGACAGUGAUGGCUUGUAGCCUGCCAGUGUUGGAAAGCUCACAAGGUAGUCCUUUAACAGCAACAAUUACUUCGUUAUCGAGCACAAGGUGUAUAGUUACGCUGCUUAACUUCAUUUGUUUGGCACGUUUUAUCAUGUAUGGGAUUGGGUUAACUGAGUGCUGAUACAGUUAAACUCUUGGUUAAGACCUUGAACAAUCAGCAUAACCUUUCCUAAACUCGAGGGUUUGACUUGUAAAACAUCUGUGCUUUGCUGCCAGACAAUAAACCUGACUGCUUGUAAGGAAUUGCAAAUGAGAUAUCGAUACAGCUACAAUGUUCUCAAGAAAAUCUUUGUAAAAGUUCAAAUUACUUUAUUUAAUGAAUGCAUUAAUUCAUGACACAAAUCUUUUAAUGCCUCAUCCUUUCUCAACAUUGUGCUCACUGAAUUGGAGUUAUGUAUAUUAUACUUUCAGAUUUUUUAUAUUAUCUUUUUUUGGCUUUGCAUACACGCAAUCUGUAGUAACAUA